rnacentral:rRNA from 1 species
AUAUCAAUAAGCGGAGGAAAAGAAACUAACAAGGAUUCCCCUAGUAACGGCGAGUGAAGCGGGAAGAGCUCAAAUUUGAAAUCUGGUGGCCUCAGGUCAUCCGAGUUGUAAUCUAUAGAAGUGUUUUCCGUGCUGGCUCAUGUACAAGUCCCUUGGAACAGGGCGUCAUAGAGGGUGAGAAUCCCGUCCUUGACAUGAACUACCAGUGCUCUGUGAUACAUUUUCAACGAGUCGAGUUGUUUGGGAAUGCAGCUCAAAAUGGGUGGUAAAUUCCAUCUAAAGCUAAAUAUUGGCGAGAGACCGAUAGCGAACAAGUACCGUGAGGGAAAGAUGAAAAGCACUUUGGAAAGAGAGUUAAACAGUAUGUGAAAUUGUUAAAAGGGAAACGAUUGAAGUCAGUCGUGCUCUUUGGAUUCAGCCGGUUCUGCCGGUGUACUUCCUUUGAGUGGGGUCAACAUCAGUUUUGAUCGCUGGAAAAAGGCGAGAGGAAAGUAGUAUCCUCGGGUAAACUUAUAGCCUCUUGUCACAUACAGUGGUUGGGACUGAGGAACGCAGCACGCCUUUAUGGCCAGGAUUCGUCCAUGUACGUGCUUAGGAUGUUGACAUAAUGGCUUUAAACGACCCGUCUUGAAACACGGACCAAGGAGUCUAACAUAUCUGCGAGUAUUUG